rnacentral:rRNA from 1 species
AUUGAACGCUGGCGGCAUGCCUUACACAUGCAAGUCGAACGGUAACAGGUCUUCGGACGCCGACGAGUGGCGAACGGGUGAGUAAUACAUCGGAACGUGCCUAGUAGUGGGGGAUAACUACUCGAAAGAGUGGCUAAUACCGCAUGAGAUCUACGGAUGAAAGCAGGGGAUCGCAAGACCUUGUGCUACUAGAGCGGCCGAUGGCAGAUUAGGUAGUUGGUGGGAUAAAAGCUUACCAAGCCGACGAUCUGUAGCUGGUCUGAGAGGACGAUCAGCCAGACUGGGACUGAGAAACGGCCCAGACUCCUACGGGAGGCAGCAGUGGGGAAUUUUGGACAAUGGGCGCAAGCCUGAUCCAGCAAUGCCGCGUGCAGGAUGAAGGCCUUCGGGUUGUAAACUGCUUUUGUACGGAACGAAAAGCCCCGGGUUAAUACCCUGGGGUCAUGACGGUACCGUAAGAAUAAGCACCGGCUAACUACGUGCCAGCAGCCGCAGUAA